rnacentral:rRNA from 1 species
GGCGAGGCCGAAAGGCGUAGUCGAUGGGAAACGGGUUAAUAUUCCCGUACUUGGUGUUACUGCGAAGGGGGGACGGAGAAGGCUAUGUUGGCCGGGCGACGGUUGUCCCGGUUUAAGCGUGUAGGUGUGUGUUCCAGGUAAAUCCGGUUCACUUUAACACUGAGGCGUGACGACGAGGCACUACGGUGCUGAAGCAACAAAUGCCCUGCUUCCAGGAAAAGCCUCUAAGCAUCAGGUAACAUCAAAUCGUACCCCAAACCGACACAGGUGGUCAGGUAGAGAAUACCAAGGCGCUUGAGAGAACUCGGGUGAAGGAACUAGGCAAAAUGGUGCCGUAACUUCGGGAGAAGGCACGCUGACACGUAGGUGAAGUGAUUUACUCACGGAGCUGAAGUCAGUCGAAGAUACCAGCUGGCUGCAACUGUUUAUUAAAAACACAGCACUGUGCAAACACGAAAGUGGACGUAUACGGUGUGACGCCUGCCCGGUGCCGGAAGGUUAAUUGAUGGGGUCAGCGCAAGCGAAGCUCCUGAUCGAAGCCCCGGUAAACGGCGGCCGUAACUAUAACGGUCCUAAGGUAGCGAAAUUCCUUGUCGGGUAAGUUCCGACCUGCACGAAUGGCGUAAUGAUGGCCAGGCUGUCUCCACCCGAGACUCAGUGAAAUUGAACUCGCUGUGAAGAUGCAGUGUACCCGCGGCAAGACGGAAAGACCCCGUGAACCUUUACUAUAGCUUGACACUGAACAUUGAGCCUUGAUGUGUAGGAUAGGUGGGAGGCUUUGAAGCGUGGACGCCAGUCUGCGUGGAGCCGACCUUGAAAUACCACCCUUUAAUGUUUGAUGUUCUAACGUGGACCCGUAAUCCGGGUUGCGGACAGUGUCUGGUGGGUAGUUUGACUGGGGCGGUCUCCUCCUAAAGAGUAACGGAGGAGCACGAAGGUUGGCUAAUCCUGGUCGGACAUCAGGAGGUUAGUGCAAUGGCAUAAGCCAGCUUGACUGCGAGCGUGACGGCGCGAGCAGGUGCGAAAGCAGGUCAUAGUGAUCCGGUGGUUCUGAAUGGAAGGGCCAUCGCUCAACGGAUAAAAGGUACUCCGGGGAUAACAGGCUGAUACCGCCCAAGAGUUCAUAUCGACGGCGGUGUUUGGCACCUCGAUGUCGGCUCAUCACAUCCUGGGGCUGAAGUAGGUCCCAAGGGUAUGGCUGUUCGCCAUUUAAAGUGGUACGCGAGCUGGGUUUAGAACGUCGUGAGACAGUUCGGUCCCUAUCUGCCGUGGGCGCUGGAGAACUGAGGGGGGCUGCUCCUAGUACGAGAGGACCGGAGUGGACGCAUCACUGGUGUUCGGGUUGUCAUGCCAAUGGCACUGCCCGGUAGCUAAAUGCGGAAGAGAUAAGUGCUGAAAGCAUCUAAGCACGAAACUUGCCCCGA